ACAAAUUCGACAACACCUAUCAGGUAAUUUCUGAAAAAAAAAGUGGAAAACCACUAGCUCUGCUUGCUUGGUUCGCGAUUUGGGUUCAGAUUACAAUUACAUAGUUGGCUUUGCUCAUGUUAUAUGGAUUGAUCUCAUUGCAUUUUCUUUUGUUGUUAAUUAUUACACCAUUUCUGCAAUAUAAUUUGAUAACUUGCUUAUGUAAUUACAUUUCAAUUGUUGAUAUCACUGCUAUCUCACGAAUUGGGUUCGAACCAAUCAAGCUACUUACCCCUGCUUGGAUUGAGUGCAUCAUGUUUAUUAAUGUAUAUUACUGUAUUAUGGUUUCUAGUGUUAACAUGUUUGGAAAGAUGGU
rnacentral:misc_RNA from 1 species